CGAUAGCGUAUAUUUAAGUUGCUGCAGUUAAAAAGCUCGUAGUUGGAUUUCGGGUGGGAAUGGCCGGUCCGCCGUUUCGGUGUGCACUUGCUACGCCCACCUUGCUGCCGGGGACGUGCUCUUGAGUUCACGCUCGGGACACGGAGUCGGCGAGGUUACUUUGAGUAAAUUAGAGUGUUCAAAGCAGGCCUACGCUCUGAAUACAUUAGCAUGGAAUAACACGAUAGGACUCGGGCCUAUCUUGUUGGUCUGUAGGACCGGAGUAAUGAUUAAGAGGGACAGUCGGGGGCAUUCGUAUUUCAUUGUCAGAGGUGAAAUUCUUGGAUUUAUGAAAGACGAACUACUGCGAAAGCAUUUGCCAAGGAUGUUUUCAUUAA
rnacentral:rRNA from 1 species